AUGUCGUUGCCACCGGUGGACCCGCCGGAGUGGCUGCGCACACUACCCGUGGCGCCGGAGUACCGCCCCACCCUCGCCGAGUUCGCUGACCCCAUCGCCUAUAUCCUCAAGAUCGAGCCAGAGGCCUCUCGCUACGGCAUCUGCAAGAUCGUCCCCCCGCUCCCCUCGCCGCCCCGCGAGGCCACCGUUCAGCUCCUCAAGGCCUCGUUCGCCUCCAAUGCGUCCGCUUCCGGCGACGCUGGCCCCACCUUCCCGACGCGGCUCCAGCAGGUGGGCCUCUCCACAAAGAACCGUCGCGGCGCGAACCGUCGCGUCUGGGAGAGCGGCGAGCGCUACACCCUGGAGGCCUUCCGCACCAAGGCCCGCGACUUCGAACUCCCGAGGCACGCGAUACCCCCGAAGCACGCGACGCCCCUCCAGCUCGAGGCGCUCUUCUGGGGUGCUUGCGCUGCGAGGCCAUUCAAUGUCGAGUACGGCAACGACAUGCCGGGGUCUGGCUUCGUCAAACGGGAGGUGCUAGACCUGGACACUGACAGUCCGGUAGGGGCGCCCAGGGACGUCGGCGAGACGGAGUGGAACAUGAGGGUGGCUCCGCGCGCUCGGGGCUCGCUACUGCGGGCGAUGAGCCGGGACGUGGCUGGCGUCACAACGCCGAUGCUAUAUGUGGCGAUGCUCUACAGUUGGUUCGCGUGGCACGUGGAGGACCAUGAGCUGCAUAGCCUCAACUACCUCCACUUCGGCAAGCCCAAGACUUGGUACGGCGUGCCCCGAGAUGCCAUGCUUGCCUUCGAGGAUGCUGUCCGUGUCCAUGGGUAUGCGGACGACCUCAAUGCCAUCAUGGCCUUUCAAACUUUAAAUCAGAAGACGACCGUCUUGUCCCCUGAAGUGCUACUUUCUGCGGGAGUUCCUUGCUGCAGAUUGGUUCAGAACCCUGGAGAAUUUGUUAUCACCUUCCCUGGAGCUUAUCAUUGUGGUUUUAGCCAUGGAUUUAAUUGUGGGGAAGCAACAAAUAUUGCCACUCCUCUCUGGUUGCAGGUGGCCAAAGAAGCUGCAAUCCGGAGGGCUUCAACUAAUUGUGGUCCAAUGAUUUCUCAUUAUCAGCUGCUUUACGAGCUUGCAUUGUCAUUAAGUCAAAGGGAACCUAAGGAUUUCCAUACUCUUCCAAGAAGCUCUCGAUUAAGGGAUAAGAAGAAGAAGGAUGAAGGAGAUACAAUGGUGAAAGAAAAAUUUGUUGGAAGUGUGAUUGAAAAUAACAAUUUGCUUAGUAUCCUUCUGGAUAAGAGUUCUUGUAUAAUUGUUCCUGAGACUCCAUUUCCUCCUACAUCCUUUCCUACGAUGAUGGAACCUGAACUCACUGUUAAACAAAGUUUGACGGGUGGUCACUGUAGUAUUAGUCAGCAAGCAGUGCACAAUAUGUCUGUUGAUGUGGCACUAGACAAAAGUAUAGUAGUAGAGAACAUGAGUCACUCUCAGUCAGUUACUGAAGCAUCUUUAUCUGCAUACAACAGAAGAAAGCUUUAUGAAACAAAAUAUGGUGAACUUGGCACUGCUGCCUUCUGUUUAUCACCAUCCAAGUUGCAGAGUGGAGUAACUGAUAAAGAUAAGAGAGGUGGGCUCUUAGAUCAGGGGCGGUUGCCGUGCGUUCAGUGUGGCGUAUUAAGCUUUGCUUGUGUUGCCAUCAUUCAACCUAGAGAAGCGGCUGUCCAGUUUGUGUUGUCUAGAGAGGGCAUCUCAUCGAGUGCAAAACCGGGAGAAGUUAGUGAAUCAGAUGGUAUCUCAAAUUGGAUAACCAAAAAUAUUGAGAUGGUUCCUCAACAAGGACAAGCUUCGGAAGCACUUAGCGUAAGUUUAGCCCAUGUAUCUGAUCGGUGUGGACAACUAUACAGCAGGAACAAUAAUGGGUCAACCUCUGCUCUAGGGCUUCUAGCUUCUACUUACGGAUCAUCAGACUCUGAGGAGGAAUCAAACCAAGGCAAAGAUAAUCAGUUAUUGGAAACAUCAGUUAGCUUCUCAAGUACAGUUCAGCGUCAAAGAUCAAAUUCGCACUUGUAUGAAGAGUGUUGUGAAGCCAAAACCACAACUUCUUUGCUGAAAUCUAUAGAGGAUAAUAGUACGACAAUAACUCGAUGUGGUAGGGACACAGAUAUCAAUCAUUUAGCAAAGCUGAGAGAGCAAGGAACAACCUAUGAUCAGUGUUCUGUCUACAUUGAUUUGGCUAAUGAUCUAACCAUAUCAGGUGUAAAAGCCUAUUCAGAUACUCAUGUAACCACAGCUAAGUCCUCAAUUGAACCAGAUGUGUUGACCCAGCUCAAGUACAACAAUGAUUCUUGCAGAAUGCAUGUAUUUUGUCUAGAACAUGCUUUGGGGACAUGGACACAACUUCAAAAAAUUGGUGGUGCUAAUGUUAUGCUCUUGUGUCAUCCGGAAUAUCCUAGAGCAGAGUCAGCAGCAAAAUUCAUAGCAGAAGAACUUGGUUUGAAGCCUGAUUGGAAAGAUGUAGCUUUUGAAGAAGCAACUGAUGAUGACAUCAGAAGAAUUCAGUUGGCGUUGCAUGAUGAAGAUGCUGAACCUGCAAGCAGUGACUGGGCAGUUAAAAUGGGUAUCAAUAUAUACUACAGUGCAAAACAGAGCAAAUCCCCGCUUUACAGCAAGCAGAUACCAUACAAUUCCAUCAUUUAUGAGGCAUUUGGCCAAGAAAACCCAGACAAUUUGACAGAUUAUGGACGGCAAAGAUCAGGCGUGACAAAGAAAAGAGUGGCUGGAUGUUGGUGCGGGAAAGUUUGGAUGUCAAACCAAGUCCAUCCCUUUUUAGUUCGUGAGCAUGAAGAACACAAUCAUGCCAUAGUUUGCAGCAAAGUGAUGCUUGGUGCUAAUUACCAUGAGAUAGUAUACGAUGAACCAUCGCUUACAUGUAAUACAAUGGUUAACUGUAGCCCAUCAAAAAGGAUAUCCAGAAGGAAAGGAAGGGACUCUAUUGAAAAAUCUGGAGCCAGAAAGAAGAGAUGCUCCGCCAAUGACGAAGCCACUUUACAUUGCAGUAGCCUUGGGAUGAACUCUAAAACCAUCAGCGAUCAGCCUAGAAACUUCGAUGAUCAUGACAAACAUGAAGGAGGUAAAAUUACAGAAGCACCAAGCACUCAGCAAUAUCAACAAUAUACCUUGCAAAGCAUGAACAUGAAGUCAAGUUCUAACAAGCCAAAGGAUUAUAAAGGAAACCGCAAUUUUCUUGACCUUUAUGAUGAAGCUAAUGACGUGGACUGCUGGUUUAACAUAGAUUCUGGAGAUAGUACUGCAAUACGACACUUGGAAGACAGUCGACAACAAGAAUUUGGUACUGUGAAAGCUAAAUCUCCAGGUAAAUUGCAAGGUAAUAUGAGAAAAUCGAGCAAGUGCAAGGCGAGCGAUGAUUCUCUGAAUGGAGACAAGAAAGUGCAAAAGAUGAAUAAGAAAUCAAUUUCUAGGAAGCAAAAGGACGUCGAGAUAAACACACAGUUUCGAGAAGAAUACGAUGAAGAUAACAACUGGGAGGAAGUUCCAGAAGGAAAAGAUCAUGAUGUGAAAGUGGAAUCUAGAGCCAAAACACGAAGUGGUGAGGAUGAUAAAAGAAACAACAACUCCCAUGAACUAAAUGAUGAAUAUAAUGAUAUGGAUUGCUGGCAUGACAUACAUCGCGGAGAUAACGCCACAAUGGGAAACUUGGAUAACAGUCCAGUACAAAGACUUGAGGCUGCGGAAGUGAAAUCUGGUGGUAAAUUGCAUUGUUGUAAGAGAAAAUCCAGCAAGGGCAAGGCAAAGGAUAAUUACUCAAAUGGAGAUGAGAAAUUGCAAAUGCUGAACAUAGAAUCAAUCUCUAGGAAGCAAAAGAGUGAUAGCCAGUUUGAUGAAGGUUGCGGCAGAGAUAACGCUUUGGACUCUUUGCUUAAUGAUGUGGAUGAAGCCACACGAGAGAACUGUUAUGAAGUUCGGGAAGAAGAAAUGGAUGGCAUGGAAGUGAAGCCUAGAGGGAAGGUGCAAACUGGUAAGAGAAAAACCAGCAGAUGUCAAGCGGGUGAUAAAGCAGCAAAAUUUCCUUGUGAUAUAGAAGGGUGUGACAUGAGCUUCAGCUCACAGCAGGAUUUGUUGUUGCACAAGCGUGAUAUUUGUCCUGUUAAAGGAUGCAAGAAAAAGUUCUUCUGCCAUAAAUACCUGCUCCAGCACCGCAAAGUGCACAUGGAUGAAAGGCCACUCAAUUGUGAAUGGAAGGGCUGCAAGAAGACAUUCAAGUGGCCAUGGGCUAGGACAGAACACAUGAGGGUCCAUACGGGGGUGCGACCUUACGAAUGCAUGGUACCUGGCUGUGGUCAGACAUUCAGAUUUGUGUCGGAUUUCAGCCGCCACAAGAGAAAGACUGGCCAUUCCAGUGGUAAGAAAAAUAAGGAGAGUACAUAA
rnacentral:rRNA from 1 species